UACAGAGGUCUCAAGCGUUGUUCGGAUUCAUUGGGCGUAAAGGGUGCGUAGGCGGCGCGGUAAGUCGGGUGUGAAAUCUUGGAGCUUAACUCCGGAACUGCAUUCGAUACUGCCGUGCUUGAGGACUGGAGAGGAGACUGGAAUUUACGGUGUAGCGGUGAAAUGCGUAGAUAUCGUAAGGAAGACCAGUGGCGAAGGCGGGUCUCUGGGCCGUAACUGACGCUGAGGAGCGAAAGCAUGGGGAGCGAACAGG
rnacentral:rRNA from 1 species